UGAAGAUUACCCUGUGCCAGCCUGGGGGCUGGGCUAUAUAAACAGGAAGAGGAAGCUGAAUAGCUGUGUUGGAGCAAUGGGGCUGUGGUUUUACUCUCAGGCUCCAGGAGACUAGACUCACUGGGCUCAGAGACUUUGCUCACUGUAAGUUUAGGUGUCCUGAACGAAGGCCCUGAGAUUACUGAUGAAAAUGUAGAAUGGAGUCCAGCCUAGUACCGAUCCCUGCAGAAUCCUACGAGAAACAACCCUAUUCGAUGUUAAAUAUGAUAUGCAUUUGAUGUGCUGAAUGUCCUCAACAUCCACUGAAAUCUCUGAGACUCCCCAGCACUUUGUGGAAAGUCCUCAUCACCGUACAAGAUGGUGCCUCAUUGAUUUCAUGUUAUGGACAAUGAAGUGGAAUUGGAAUAAAUGGCUUUGUCAACUCAACAAACCUUAACACAACGAAAUUAAUGUGAAAGUCAGAGUCAAAUGAGUCCCAGCGGUGUCCUCCACUCUGCCGAGAAGCACAUUUCAGAUACUGAAGAACAGGCAGCGGACUCAGACCUACGGUAUCUUGUAUUGCAACAAUUAAUGGUGGAGGAAAGGGAGUAUAUGUUGCUUGGAACUAUCGUCCAGUUAAAAGGAAUAACAUAAAAAUAGGCAUGGGAGUGAACAAUGAAGGGAACAGUUAUAAGGUGAACAAAAGGCAGAAAGGCCAUGUGUACCACAGGUUGAAAAUGAAGGAAGAGA